AGCCUGCCCAGUGACAAAAUUUAACGGCCGCGGUAACCUAACCGUGCGAAGGUAGCAUAAUCACUUGUCCUUUAAAUAGGGGCUCGUAUCAACGGCACCACGAGGGUUAUACUGUCUCCUUUCUCUAAUCAGUGAAACUGAUCCCCCCGUGAAGAAGCGGGGAUAAAACUAUAAGACGAGAAGACCCCAUGGAGCUUUAAAUUAGCAGCAACUCUACCACCCACCCCCCCAUAAAAUAGAGGUAUGCAUGCGACUUUUAGGUUGGGGCGACCGCGGAGUAUAAAAUAACCCCCACGACGAAAAGAGCUAAAUCUUUAUCCUAGAGUUCCCCCUCAAAGAAUUAGUACACUAACGAACAAUGACCCGAUCAUCGAUCAACGAACCAAGUUACCCUGGGGAUAACAGCGCAAUCUACUUCGAGAGCCCCUAUCGACGAGUAGGCUUACGACCUCGAUGUUGGAUCAGGGUAACCUAAUGGUGCAGCCGCUAUAACGGUUCGU
rnacentral:rRNA from 1 species